AUUGAACGCUGGCGGCAGGCUUAACACAUGCAAGUCGAGCGAGCGGCGGACGGGUGAGUAAUGUCUGGGAAACUGCCUGAUGGAGGGGGAUAACUACUGGAAACGGUAGCUAAUACCGCAUACCAUCAGAUGUGCCCAGAUGGGAUUAGCUAGUAGGUGGGGUAAUGGCUCACCUAGGCGACGAUCCCUAGCUGGUCUGCGAGGUUGACCAGCCAAACGGGAACUGGGACAGGGUCCAGACCCCUACGGGAGGAAGCAGUGGGGAAUAUUGCAAAAGGGGCGCAAGCCUGAUGCAGCCAUGCCGCGUGGGUGAAGAAGUCUUUCGGGUUGUAAAGCACUUUCAGCGAGGAGGCGUUACUCGCAGAAGAAGCACCGGCUAACUCCGUGCCAGCAGCCGCGGUAAUU
rnacentral:rRNA from 1 species